UACGAAGGGGGCUAGCGUUGUUCGGAAUCACUGGGCGUAAAGCGCACGUAGGCGGCUGUGCAAGUCAGGGGUGAAAUCCCGGAGCUCAACUUCGGAACUGCCUCUGAUACAGCACGUCUUGAGUCCGGAAGAGGUGGGUGGAAUUCCUAGUGUAGAGGUGAAAUUCGUAGAUAUUAGGAAGAACACCGGUGGCGAAGGCGGCCCACUGGUCCGGUACUGACGCUGAGGUGCGAAAGCGUGGGGAGCAAACAGG
rnacentral:rRNA from 1 species